UCGGGAAUUUUGGGCAAUGGGCGCAAGUCUGAUCCAGCCAUGCCGCGUGAGUGACGAAGGCCUUAGGGUUGUAAAGCUCUUUUGGCGGGGAAGAUAAUGACGGUACCCGCAGAAUAAGCUCCGGCUAACUUCGUGCCAGCAGCCGCGGUAAUACGAAGGGAGCUAGCGUUGUUCGGAAUCACUGGGCGUAAAGCGCACGUAGGUGGGCAGUUAAGUCAGGGGUGAAAGCCCGAGGCUCAACCUCGGAAUUGCCUCUGAUACUGGCUGUCUAGAGUUCGAGAGAGGUGAGUGGAAUUCCUAGUGUAGAGGUGAAAUUCGUAGAUAUUAGGAAGAACACCGGUGGCGAAGGCGGCUCACUGGCUCGAUACUGACACUGAGGUGCGAAAGCGUGGGGAGCAAACAGGAUUAGAUACCCAAGUAGUCCCUGAGCGGGCUGGCAAGGCGCAU
rnacentral:rRNA from 1 species